GGUCAAGUUAAAAAGAGCAUUAGGCGGAUGCCUAGGCACCAAGAGGCGAAGAAGGACGUGACAAGCUGCGAAAAGCUGCGGAAAGGAGCAAAUAUCCAAUGAUCCGCAGAUAUCCGAAUGGGGAAACCCGAUCAAAAGAUCAUCUCAUACCCAAACAAAUAAGUAUGAGAAGCGAACCCGGCGAACUGAAACAUCUAAGUAGCCGGAGGAAAAGAAAGAAAACUCGAUGUCCCAAGUAGCGGCGAGCGAACAGGACAAAGCCCAAAAGGACAAA
rnacentral:rRNA from 1 species